AAAAAUUUAGUUAAAAUAUAACGUUAGUUUGUCAAACUAAAAUUAUCAUUUGAUAAUUUUUU
rnacentral:tRNA from 1 species